rnacentral:lncRNA from 1 species
AAAAGCCGUAUUUGUGCUUGCCUCUCCGGAAGAAAAAGCCAUUUCCCCCAAGAUAGCCCAGCAACCUUCGAGUAACCUACGGUUUUUUUUAUACUUGAAAUUCAUCUCUCUCGCAUUGCAUCACCGGUGGUGAAAUAGGUAUACACGUAUGCUAAUCUCAUCGUUCAGAAUCAGACUCUCCUUCCCCCAUCGUCGGCGGUGAAAUUGGAACAAUGUUGCAGGAAUCGCGCCUAGGCGGCGCCUAGGCGAUUAAACACUCUUUUCAAAAUAAACCAACCAGAAUAUUCAAUCCGUACACAUUACCUACAGUAAGAAAAACACCCUCAAGUCCACAAAACCACCAUUUCCACUUCUUCAAUUUGUGAUGAUUCAUUCUUGUACGUGGCCUUGUUUCACAACUUGCUGAUGUUGACCAAAAGAUUACCGAAGACCGCCUUGUUUUACAACUUGUACGUGGCCUCUCCAAGGAGUUCGACACCACUGCAUCUUUAAUUAAUUCUCAAAACGCAGAUUGGGACAUGGCCAGAUCUAUGCUGAAUGAUGAAGUUAUCCGCCAGGCCGCACGACAGCAGCAGUCCUCAAUCGUCCUCAUCACCCUAGCCACUUCUCAAACCCAACAACCGGAUCAGUACCAGCAGCCCAGCAACCAGUAGCGUGACUAUAACGAUCAGUACCCAGCGUCCAGCAAUCAGUACUGUGGUUGUGGGCGAGGCCGUAACGGCCAGCCUUCUCGUGGUAGAGGAGCACUCGACAGGGGAUACCAAGGUAACAAUUCAAACUGGGCUUUUCUAAAAUUUUCAGGCCAAGAAUCUUACCCGCAGUGGGCUUGGUGGAAUACCCAUCCCUGCCCAUAACCGACGCAGCCCAACUGGAGGCCCAACACACCUCAACAUACACCAUUAGCCAACUUCACUGGCUACCAUGGUCCUGCCACAUUGGCCCACAGUUUGCAACCCCUCCUGUCACAGGUUACAACAUUCUAUGUCCAUCCAACUUAAGUGCAGCCAUGAACAACAUCAAUCUCACCUACACGAACCCGACCCCACACAUGGAUACUGGUGCUGAGCGUCACGUAACAGACAAUCAAGAAUCUCAAAGCGGAUGACUCCUUUUCCGCCACAAUAGUACGGGCGAUCUUUAUCCGGUCACUCCUCCAACACUCCCACCACAAGCUUGCUCCCUUACAGCGACGACUUUACCCUGGAAUGACCGUCUUGACCACCCUGGCAAACAAGUUUUUGAUAUUUUGUCUAGAAAUUUUGGUUUAUCAUGUAAUUUAAACAAGCUUUCUAGUUUUUGCAACUCUUGUCAUCUAGCUAAUAGUAAUCGUUUACCAUUUUAUGAAUC